CCGCACGCAGCGUCGAUGGCAGGAGCUCCCUGGGCGCGUGGUGGAAGGGGCGCUGGGGACGUGAAGACGGCAGUCAUGAACCUUUUUUAUUUGUCUGAUUUCUGCGUCUUUCUUCGGCCAACUCAGUACCUCUACCGGUCAGAGGCUUCCAGCCCGAACUACUUGAGCGAGAGCUUUUUCAUGGUGAAGGGAGCAGCCCUCUUCUUACAACAAGGAAGCAGCCCUCAAGGCCAACGGAGUCUUCAGCAUCCUCACAAGCAUGCAGGUGACCUGCCCCAGCACCUACAAGUCAUGAUCAACCUCCUGCGCUGUGAGGACAGGAUCAAGCUGGCCGUGCGCCUGGAGAGCGCCUGGACGGACCGCGUGCGCUACAUGGUGGUGGUGUACAGCAGCGGGCGCCAGGACACCGAGGAGAGUAUCUUGCUGGGAGUCGACUUUUCCAGUAAGGAAAGCAAAAGCUGCACCAUCGGGAUGGUCCUGCGGCUUUGGAGCGACACGAAGAUCCACCUGGAUGGAGACGGUGGGUUCAGCGUGAGCACGGCAGGGAGGAUGCACAUAUUCAAGCCCGUGUCUGUCCAGGCCAUGUGGUCUGCCCUGCAGGUGCUCCACAAGGCCUGCGAGGUGGCCCGAAGACACAACUACUUCCCAGGGGGUGUGGCGCUCAUCUGGGCCACCUACUACGAGAGCUGCAUCAGCUCCGAGCAGAGCUGCAUCAACGAGUGGAACGCCAUGCAGGACCUGGAGUCCACGCGGCCCGACUCCCCAGCCCUGUUUGUGGACAAGCCAACUGAAGGGGAGAGGACGGAGCGCCUCAUCAAAGCCAAGCUGCGGAGCAUCAUGAUGAGCCAGGAUCUCGAAAACGUCACCUCCAAGGAAAUCCGUAAUGAGCUGGAGAAACAGAUGAACUGCAACCUGAAAGAGUUCAAGGAGUUCAUAGACAACGAGAUGCUGCUCAUCCUGGGGCAGAUGGACAAGCCCUCCCUCAUCUUCGACCACCUUUAUCUCGGCUCUGAAUGGAAUGCGUCCAAUCUGGAGGAGCUGCAGGGCUCAGGGGUUGACUACAUUUUAAAUGUCACUCGAGAAAUAGACAAUUUUUUCCCUGGCCUCUUUGCAUAUCAUAACAUCCGAGUGUACGACGAGGAGACCACGGACCUCCUUGCCCACUGGAACGAAGCAUAUCACUUUAUAAACAAAGCCAAGCGGAACCACUCCAAGUGCCUGGUCCAUUGCAAAAUGGGGGUCAGCCGCUCGGCGUCCACCGUCAUCGCCUAUGCCAUGAAGGAGUUCGGCUGGCCCCUGGAGAAAGCCUACAACUACGUGAAGCAAAAGCGAAGCGUCACACGGCCCAACGCAGGCUUCAUGAGGCAGCUGUCUGAGUACGAAGGCAUCCUGGACGCAAGCAAACAGCGGCACAACAAGCUGUGGGGCCAGCAGGCGGACAGCAGCCUCCAGCCGCCUCCCGAAGACCCUCCAGAGCCUGGCGACUUCCUGACGGAGACCCUGGACGGCACUCCUGAUGUCCCGCUGCCCUGCUUGGACAAUGCUGCCCAGCUCAGGCUCCACGGAAGCCGGGCCCCAGGAGGACCCGCUCUCCCCUGCUGUUUCCGGAGGCUCUCAGACCCCCUCCUGCCUCCCCCUCCUGAGGACGCCGGCAGCGUGGUGCACCUGGAGGACCUCGAGAGGGACGCUGUCUUGGAGGAAGAGGCUUCGCCCGCCAGACACCCCCAGGAUGGCGCUGGAUUCUGCGAGAAGGAUGUGAAGAAGAAACUAGAGUUUGGGAGCCCCAAACCCCGGAGUGGCCCCUUGCCCCAGGUGGAGGAGAUGGAGAGGGAGGAGGGCCCGGGCCCAGGGAGAUGGGGGCGGCCCGCGGCCCAGCCUGAGCGGGGCCUCCUGGAGCGCGGCAACCUCAACAACAAUAACAGCAAGAGGAGCUGCCCCCAGGACUUGGAGCACGAUGCUAUGUUUGGGAUCCUGAACAAAGUGAAGCCAUCCUAUAAAUCCUGUGCCGAUUGCAUGUACCCUGCAGCCAGCGGAGCUCCCGAGGCCUUCAGGGAUUGGUGUGAGGACCCAGGUGCUCCCGCCAUCUGCACCCAGCCAGCCUUCCUGCCCCACCUCACAUCCUCCCCUGCAGCCCACAUGUCCAGCAGGUCCCGAGGUCUGGAGAAGCUGGCCUCUGGCGUGGCUGACGCGCCCUCCUUCCUACCGCCAGCAGGUUCCAGAAGACCUGAUGCCAGCAGCUCCGGAGCCACAGCUGCUCCGGAGCUAACAGGUAGCAUUUCAGAACCUUCUAGAGAGACCCCCAGAGUCCUGCCAAAGUCCCUCCUAUUGAAGAAUUCUCACUGUGACAAGAACCCUCCCAGCAUGGAAGUGGUGAAGGAAGAACUGUCACCCAAGAAAGAUCUCAAGCCUGCAAAGGACCUGAGGCUUCUGUUCAGUAGCGAAUCCGAGAAGCCCACGACCAACAGCUACUUGAUGCAGCACCAGGAAUCCAUCAUCCAGCUGCAGAAGGCCGGCCUGGUCCGCAAGCACACCAAGGAGCUGGAGAGGCUGAAGAGCCUGCCCGCAGAUAGCGCCCCCGGCCGGCUGGAGGCCAGCAUACCCGAGGAGAGCCAGGAGCCUGGGCCCCCAGCUCUGCCCGGCCACGCGGGGGGUGACGAGAAGCCAGAAGCUGCCCCCCAACCCGUGGAAGGAGCCUCGCUGAAGAGCCCCCCGCCCCUCCCCUGCCGCCUGGACCACUCCAGCACCUUCUCCAGAGACUUCCUGAGGACCAUCUGCCACACCCCCACCUCCUCGUCCCUCAGCUCCAACAUGACCCGCAGCUCCAGCAGUGACAGCAUCCACAGCGUCCGUGGGAAGCCAGGGCUGGUGAAGCAGCGGACGCAGGAGAUCGAGACGCGGCUGCGGCUGGCCGGCCUCACCGUGUCGUCCCCCCUCAAGCGCUCCCACUCUCUUGCCAAGCUCGGGAGCCUCAACUUCUCCACAGAGGACCUGUCCAGCGAGGCGGACGCCUCCACCCUCGCCGACUCCCAAGACGCCAAGUGGAGCGAACCCUCCUGCCUGCUCGACCCCCAGGCCGUCCCCAGGAACCCGGCCUCCAAGCCAUCAGGGAAAUGCGCCCCAGGAAACUUGAACAGCCCCUCCUGGGUGAGCAAAAGCUGACCCACGACAGAGUCUCACAGGAUCCCUCCCUUGUCCCUCGUGGGUUUUGACCCCCCUCUUACAUCUUGAUCUGUCUUAAAGAACCCAAGUCACCUGAACCUCCCGCUCUUGCCAUAGAGAGGAGGAGACAUGGCAGUACAGGAAGGAAGGGGAGGUGCCGGGUGCCGGGAUUUGUCAGAGACGCGGAACUCUGUCCCCAAGUCCCGGCUCUGAGAAGAGUGCCGAAUCCAGAAGAGCACGUUCAGAUAUGCACACAUCCAAAAUGUUUUAUUGCAACAUGCAAAAGAGGAGUCAUGGUGACGCCACCGUCCCCGUGGCCCACAUUCCCAGCUCAUCCCACCCUCAGAGACACUCGAGAUGGCAGCCUAGUCCUACCUCUGUUCUCGCUGUGCUUUUUGUUUUUUAAAUACGAUGAUUCCCAGGGCUCAUCCCAGGGAAUGCUGCUGCUGUCAGAAAGGGGUUUCCAGGGAUUGGCUUCCUUUGGUGGGUACCCCAAGAGCACCACCCGCCCUGGCUCUGGUGCAGCUGAUGGGCAUUGGGUCAGCACUGGGGUCAGUUGGGGGAAGUGUGCAAUUCCCUCAGCGCCCCUAUUUCAGGGACGAGGACCCCAGACCGCUGCUUCUCUGUUCCUCCUGCUGAACUGGGUGUGGUGGGGUUGGGGAAGGGCUGGGGCUGCGGUUCUGGGAGGUGGAUCCUCCCAGGAGCCCACCCCUCAGGGUUGUUGGGUCCCAUUUUCCAAUGUUUGGAAAGGGAAGGGAUUUUGGGGGCAGAGACCUCUCCUGGGUCCUGCUCCAGGAGCUACUCAUUGCAGCUUCUCUGAGAGGAUGCGACCUGGGAAGGACAGGGAAGAGCCUCAGUGUCUUCAGUCGCCACUUCCUGUGGGGAGAACUGCUUCCUGUCUUUCCAGUUCUCCGGCAGAGGCAGUGACAGCCCAAGUCUCCUUGGGCUCCGCUCUGGGCAACGCCUUGAGGAAUCAGGAAACUACCUCGUUAGCCUUUGCCAAGACAGUCUGAUUCUUCAUCUUCAUCAUCAUCCUCAUCCUGGACAGUCUUUACUGAGCACCUACUGUGUACUAUGCUCUAUGCCCAAAACCCUGGACAAGUUAGACCAGGGAGAAGUGUCAGGUCUUUCCAGGACGCGCCUCGUUCCCUGGUUCUGUCAGGAAGGAACAGGCCCUCUGCCGGGUGGCCAUUUGUACACCAGAAAAAAUGCUCCUCACCAGAAUGGGACUGGGAUUUGGGGUGGUCUGUCCAUUACAGUAGAAAUCAGAGCCAGAGGUGCGCCCCAGAGGAUCACCAGGUGGGAGUGGUCCCCCCACAUGGCAGGGACCAGAGGCUGUGGGGCCGUGACUGCUCACUGCCAUGGCAGGAGAUGGUCACUGCGCACGGCGGAGGCCCGCUCGUGCCCACGUCACACCAGGCAGUUCUGGUGGCGCUCUCUCUCCCUGGGUGUGCCACCUUUCUGUCACUCUGACAAAGUACCCAAGAUAAACAGGAGGGGAAGGUCGGUUGUCCCCUCACCACCCCGUCUACGCUGCUGAAGAUGGAGCCCAGGGCUUGGGGCGUCCUGGGCCAGCACCCUGCCACCAAGCUGGGUCUCCAUCCCCAGCAGGUCCUGUUGGCUCAGGGCCUCGGAGGCCUCAGUGCAUGGUGGAUCCGUCUGUUUGCUCAGCCCAAAGAGAAAAAGCUGCUCCCCUGGGGGGGAUGGGGAGACAGAAGGUUCAGGAAGGGCCCCCCCACCCCCACCCCCUGGAGGGCAGGCGCCCAGCGGCCUGACUUCCUCCUGCCAGGCCCCAGCUCCUGAAGGCUCCGCCACCACCCCAGGGCACCAUCAGCUGAGGACUAAGCCCUCAAGGCAUGGCCUUUGGGGAACCUUUAAAAUCCAAACUGUUGCUAAAGCUGCACAAACAAGCAAACACCCCCAGAAAGUAUACAUGUGAGGCCAAAUCAUGGCUGGAAACUGCUUAUCAAGUAUGAAAUUCAAAGCAGAGGUUAGUGUUGUCACGCUGGAAUGCAGUCCUGUCAUAAGAUGUCUGGAGGACACUCCCAGGACUGGAGGUGUAGCUCAGCCCCCCAGGCCCUGGUUCAGUCCCCAGCGCGGCUGCGGAGGGAGGGAGAGCCCUGGCUUAGGGAGAGCCCUGGCUUAGGAACGCCUCCUGGCAAACUGCAGGUACCAACCAUUUCUCUUUGGGUCCUAAAUGUGAAUCCGAUUCUGGGGACAGGGCCCAGCAAUCUGUAUGUCGAUUCCCUGGGAAUCCCGAUGGCCGAGUUUAGAAAAUACCAAAACAAGACUGAUGCAAUUGAGCAGGCUCACACUUCACCGGUUCCGAUCACGUUCCACGGGGGCUCUCGGGAGACACACCAUGACGCCUAACAGAGAACAUGGGUGUUCCCAAGCCUCCUCGAUCCUUGCUUAUUGGGGGUUCUCAGAAUGUUCCAUAACUGGCUGGUGUCACCUGGCUUUCAUCUCGGAGUGGACAUGCAGGUUGGGUGUGGUCCCAGAUCAUGCCUCUGUGCUGGGAGGCUUGCAGGGGAGAGUCCACGGGCCUGCUUAAGUCCCGGGAAAUCCCUUGGAAAACCUUCCAGAAGGCAGAGGGGGCCCCCACGUCGUCAGGAAGCCCCUUUCCAAAGAGGCGUCCACCCAGGGUGCGCAGAGUGAUCCCCGCCCGGAAACGCCACUCGUCCUUGCACCCUAAAGCCAAGAACCAAAAGGACACGGUCCUUGGUAUCCUUAGGGGAUUGUUCCAGAACCUUCUCCCCAUGGAGAGCACAGUUCACAGAUGUCAAUUCCCUAAGUAAGAUGGCUAGUAUUAGCAAAUAGUCUUUGUACACCUCCCCCCACUUUAAAUCAUCUCCAAAUUGCUUAUGACAUUGAAUGCAGUGUAAAUGCCAUGUAUAGAAUUGUUUAUUGCUUAGGGAAUGGUGACAAGAAGUCUGUAUAGUCAUGCAGAUUUAAGUGUUUUUUGGGGGGGAGGUUACCAGGGAUUAAACUGAGGGGCACUGAGCCCCACCCCCAGCCCUGUUUUGUAUUUUAGACAAGGUCUCAGUUGCUUAGUGCCUCACUUUUGCUGAGGCUGGCUUUGAACUUGCGACCCUCCUGCCUCAGCCUCCCGAGCUGCUGGGAUGACAGGCGUGGGCGGCUUCACAGAGGACUUCUGCUCACAGUGAUGCAGGGUGUUUUUUUUUCCCCUGAUAUUUUCUAAUGGCUUUUGAAUCCCCAAAUGCAGAAUCAGCUGCACUUAUGCAUCUUCCAUGUGCCUGACGUGAGGACUCCCUCUGAAUCCUCCACACAGCCUCUUCCUCGGUUUAUGGAUAAAGAAACCGGCCUGCAGAGCACAACGAAUUAGCCUUUGGUUACACCCAGAGAGUGAUAAACCAGACAGAUAUUACUGACUCCCAUCUGGAACCUUCCCUAGAGCGGAGUCUCCCGGCCCCAGAGUAGAAAUAAGCAAACAAGAUGCAUCCUGUCCCCGCUUUAGGUCCCAGCAACAGAGCAGAGGGGUUAGAGCUGAAGCCUCGAGCCCCGAAGAAGUCAGACCCACUGCAUGCUCCAGAGGCUGUUGGGGCCACACACAGCGGGUCUCCUGCUCCCAAAUCCUAUUCACCAUGCUUUGCCUUUAAAGGGAAACUGCUCGUGCUUCUUGAAGUGUACUUGUCAAGGGUCCAGUUCCAGCUUCAAAUUCCUUUUUUUUUUUUUGUAAACUGUUCCAGCGCAUAAAAGAUCAACACACACACAUUAGCAGCCUCUCAAUCUGGGAAAGGAUGUGCUGGCAUCUGACACUAAGAGUCCAGUUCUCCGAGCUGGGGACAUAGCUCAGUGGUAGAGUGGGUAUGUAGCAUGUGCAAGGCCUGGUGUCCAUCCCCAGCACCACCCAAAAAAACCAAAAAGAUUCUCCCUAAAGUGUUGCAUUGGAGUGGGGAGCUCCCUCUGGUUCUUGACAUGGGAUAUCAAAAUGUGGUGAGAGCCGGGCUCGAUGGCACACUCCUGUCAUCCCAGCGGCUCAGGAGGCUGAGGCAGGAGGAUCAAGAGUUCAAAGCCAGCCUCUGCAAAAGCGAGGCCCUAAGCAACUCAGGGAGACUCUGUCUCUAAAUAAAAUACAGAAUAGGGCUGAAAAUGUGACUUAGGGGUCGAGUGCCCCUAAAUUCAAUCCCCAGUACCCCCCCCAAAAAAAUGGGGCAAGAACAAUGCUACCUGCCUCCUGGGACCAGUAAUUUGAGAAUUAACUAAUAACUGGGAGAUGCAAGGCCCACUCUGUAGGGGGCACCCUGUCCAUGCUGAAUGACCGCUAUUGUGGGUCCUGGUGGAAGAGGAAGGAACGGAGGAUGGUGAGAAGAACUAUAUCUCCACUAGUGGCAAUAGUUUUGCAAACAGCUGCCCCUUACAGAUACUAAAAUCCAGGAUUCCCAAGGCCCUUGUGUGAAGUGGUGUUGUAUUUACAGAGAACCUACCUGCACCCUCCCCUAGAGGAAAAUCAUGUCUGGGUUUCUCGCCACACCUAAUGCACUGUCCAUGCUGAGUGAAUCGUUGUUAAACUGUCAUGUUUAGGGGAUAAUGGCAAAAAGGUCUGCACAUUUUUCACUACAGAUGAAAUUUUUUCCCAAAAAUAUUUCCAAUCCGAGAGGUAGGUCACGUCCUUGGAUGGGGGCCCCUAGACGUGGAGGGCCAACCGUAUGUGCAUGACUGAGUCCAUCUUUAUAGCCGACCUUGGGCCUGUUUUACAAACCAAGAGCUGGAUGCUCAGACCAGGUAACAUGGGUCAGGGGCAUGCCUCCAGGAAGGGACAGAGACCAGAGGCCCCCGAUUCCAAGUUCAUGCCCUCUCUACCCCACCAUCUUCUUUCCAAAGAAAAGGGCCCCUCAUCCGCUGGGCACGAUGCUGACUGUGUUUGGUUUCAGCAGGAACUUGCUGAUAGUGAGUGAACGGGAUGUUCCACCAAAGGAAGCCUCAGCUUCCUUCUCCAAGGCUUUGGAAGCUUGGGGACUCCCAGGAUUGCCAAACCACGUUCUUCUGCGACAGGGGCUGCAUCUCAGUCUCCUCCAGGUCUGGGAUGUUGGGACUGUGAAUCAAAGAAUCCUGAGUUUUCCAGAAGAGUCCAGAAGAAUCAAGAAAACAUGAUGCUAGCUGAGCCCCUGUAUUUCACGGUUCUGGAAUUCUGUCUCUGUGUCUGGAGCCCCUGCCUGUGCCAGGCACUUGAGAGAAAAGGGGAAGUGAUUUCAUGGCUGGGGGUCCUCUUGGGCCUUCAGUAAGAAAGGAAUCUUACACCUGCUAACAGCGAUGGGCUGGGCGUGGAUGGGAAGGGUCUGAGAACUCGGGCCUUUUACAUGCUAAGCACAUCUUUGAGCCCAACCUUGGACCCUGGGUUUCAUUGCUUUAUUGUGUGUGUGUGUGUGUGUGUGUGUGUGUGUGUGUGUGUGUGUGUGUGUUGAACCACAGAGCCUAGUGCAUGCCAGGCAAAUACUCUACCAACUGAGCUAUGUCCCCAGCCCUCAUUGUUUUAUUCUUAUAACUGUUUCCCAAAACCUCUGCAACAGGAUCAUGUUACUUUAAUAAAAAACUACAAUAUAUCAUUCACUA